rnacentral:rRNA from 1 species
UGCUUACACAUGCAAGUCGAGCGGUAAGGCCCUUCGGGGUACACGAGCGGCGAACGGGUGAGUAACACGUGAGCAACCUGCCCCUGACUCCGGGAUAAGCGGUGGAAACGCCGUCUAAUACCGGAUACGACUCUCCGGCUCAUGCUGGAGGGUGGAAAGUUUUUUCGGUCGGGGAUGGGCUCGCGGCCUAUCAGCUUGUUGGUGGGGUAAUGGCCCACCAAGGCGAUUACGGGUAGCCGGCCUGAGAGGGUGACCGGCCACACUGGGACUGAGACACGGCCCAGACUCCUGCGGGAGGCAGCAGUGGGGAAUCUUGCGCAAUGGGCGAAAGCCUGACGCAGCGACGCCGCGUGGGGGAUGACGGCCUUCGGGUUGUAAACUCCUUUUACCACUCACGCAGGCUCCCAGUUCUCUGGGGGUUGACGGUAAGUGGGGAAUAAGGACCGGCUAACUACGUGCCAGCAGCCGCGGUAAUACGUAGGGUCCGAGCGUUGUCCGGAAUUAUUGGGCGUAAAGAGCUCGUAGGCGGCAUGUCACGUCUGCUGUGAAAGACCGGGGCUUAACUUCGGUUUUGCAGUGGAUACGGGCAUGCUAGAGGUAGGUAGGGGAGACUGGAAUUCCUGGUGUAGCGGUGGAAUGCGCAGAUAUCAGGAGGAACACCGGUGGCGAAGGCGGGUCUCUGGGCCUUACCUGACGCUGAGGAGCGAAAGCAUGGGUAGCGAACAGGAUUAGAUACCCUGGUAGUCCAUGCCGUAAACGAUGGGCGCUAGGUGUGGGGACUUUCCACGGUUUCCGCGCCG